rnacentral:misc_RNA from 1 species
AAGUCGUAACAAGGUUUCCGUAGGUGAACCUGCGGAAGGAUCAUUAACAAAUCUACACAAACCAUGUGUCACCGUGUCGUUCCUGGAUGGGGAGCCAGGAACAGCAAAAACACACUGUCAGAGCAUGCAAAUGUAACAUUAACAACUUUUAACAAUGGAUCUCUAGGCUCUU